UACGGAGGGUGCAAGCGUUAUCCGGAUUCACUGGGUUUAAAGCGCACGUAGGCGGCUUUGUAAGUUAGAGGUGAAAGCCCGGAGCUCAACUCCGGAAUUGCCUUUAAGACUGCAUCGCUUGAAUCAUGGAGAGGUGAGUGGAAUUCCGAGUGUAGAGGUGAAAUUCGUAGAUAUUCGGAAGAACACCAGUGGCGAAGGCGACUCACUGGACAUGUAUUGACGCUGAGGUGCGAAAGCGUGGGGAGCAAACAGG
rnacentral:rRNA from 1 species